AAAAAGAUGUACUUUUUCUUAGGAUACGAGAUAAGGCCAUAAGAACACUUCCAAUGGUAGUAUUACGAUGAGUUCUUAGUAUUUGAAGAAAAAGAAAAAAAAAUGAAAUUAAGAGGGAAAAUGAGCAAAAUUUCUUUGUUAUGAGUUUUUAAGAAACUAUGAGAUACUAGAAAAACACAUAUCAUUCAAAUAGAUGAUUAAUUAGUUUAAAUAAAAUAAAAUAUAAAAACUAAUUUUAAUACUAAUAUUUUUUUUAGAAACCUUCAUAGUUUCUAACAAUUGGAAGUGUUCUAAAAGUAAAAAGUAACAAUGCAAGUAAAAGUAGUUAGCGAUGACGGGACAAUCAAAUAAAUGUAGUGGAAUAAC
rnacentral:lncRNA from 1 species